UACGGGGGGGGCAAGCGUUGUUCGGAAUUACUGGGCGUAAAGGGUUCGUAGGUGGCCUACUAAGUCAUACGUGAAAGCCCGGAGCUCAACUCCGGAACUGCCAUUGAAACUGUAAAACUUGAGGAUGAGAGAGGUGAGUGGAAUUCCCAGUGUAGAGGUGAAAUUCGUAGAUAUUGGGAAGAACACCGGUGGCGAAGGCGGCUCACUGGCUCAUUUCUGACGCUCAGGCGCGACAGCGUGGGGAUCAAACAGG
rnacentral:rRNA from 1 species